rnacentral:ncRNA from 1 species
GGCGGUCCGCACGGGAGCCUGUGGAAACAGGCUGAGAGGGGGUCUGCGGCGACCCCGACCGUCGAACCUGAUCCGGGUCAUGCCGGCGCAGGGAGCGUGGUGUCUUGUGGU